rnacentral:misc_RNA from 1 species
UACGGAGGAUCCAAGCGUUAUCCGGAAUCAUUGGGUUUAAAGGGUCCGUAGGCGGACAAUUAAGUCUGCAGCUUAACUGUAGAAUUGCCAUUGAUACUGUUGACCUUGAGUAAUUAUGAAGUGGUUAGAAUAUGUAGUGUAGCGGUGAAAUGCAUAGAUAUUACAUAGAAUACCGAUUGCGAAGGCAGAUCACUAAUAAUAUAUUGACGCUGAUGGACGAAAGCGUAGGUAGCGAACAGG